rnacentral:misc_RNA from 1 species
CGGCUGCUUAUAUUAAAAAAAGGGGUUCGAUGACAAUAACAUAUUCUAUAUCAAGAGGAUAUAACGUGGUAACCAGCCAAAAAUUACAACAGGAAAGAAAGAAAAAAAUUAAAUGGAAAGAAAGGAGAGAGAAGAGAGGGAAGGGGGUGGGAAUCAAAACUCAACUUACAUCUUGGCAUGUACAAGCAAAAGGUGUCGCACUACGAAUCAACGGAGGCGCCAGCUUGACCUUGCAAGUGUCCUCACAAAGGUCUGAAUGAGACCGACUGGGGAUGACCGUUGGGGGAGACCACUGGUCUGGCACCAUAAGAAAAUACGCUGUCAUUGCUUUUCUGAAUCGUUUCUUAUACUGCUCGGGUGAGAUCACAGUUGGAGUGGCGUUCUUAGACCCGCCAAGGAUGCCUGAUGCCUUCACCUUCACCCAGGUCUCAAGGUGCUUGUCCCACGUAUACUGUCUUAUAAAAUCAAUGAUUCCGAGUACCAACUCGUGCUUUUCCUCAUCCACACCAACCAAUAGCGAAUAGUCCAUUACAUCAAUCGAGGCAAGAAAUGAAGUGUCAUUCCAGACAGCCCUCUCUAGCAAAUGCUUUGCCUUGUUUCCCACAAAAAUUGGAGAAGUUGGCAUUGAUUCAAUCAAAUUCUGGUCCAGCAGAACUUUGUUGCUCCCACUUGUAUCUGGAUUGUAUCGUGAUCGAGAAGAUCCUUUAAGGUCAUAAAGCCGUACAACAUUUCGCUUAAACAGGAGAUUCUCCAUUACCAGAACAUCCAUUUUCGAUUCUUUCCCCCCUUUGAGGUGCUUUGAUGAAACCUGAUAAAUACCAAGUAUCUUAGCCAGGCAAGUUGGGUUUCCAGUACUGAUUGAGUGAGAUAAAUACUUAAAAUAUGCUGGUCCAAAUUUGAUGAAUGACUCCAGCUCCGUUUUUGUAACCUGUUUGAUGAUAAAUCGAUCAUCCAAAGUUUUAGCAAAGAAAACAUUGCUCUUGCCACCCUGGGCUCCCCACUUCUUACAGCGACUAAGAGAUCGUAUGAAAUCAAAUUCGGAAGGGCAACAAAUCCUCCUUAAGGCCUCAAACCUCUUUGCAUAGUAACAAGUCACCAUAUAUUUCACUUUUCCUUGAACACUAUCAUCUGUAAAAGAAACUCUGGCAUGCAAAUCCUUAGUGUAUGAGAGAGGAUCCAAAAUCUGAGGGCCUCGGGACCCAGGCAUGGACAGGAUGCUUUCUUCAAUAGAACCAAGACUUCUGUAAAUAUCAGAAACUGAUUCAUCAAAAGAGUUAAAUGAUAGUAGAUGCACUGAAUCAAAGAGUGGCAAUGAAAUUGUAGUCUCCCCAGAUUCUUUUGGUUUUUCAAGCUCAGACAUCUGGAGAUGAUAAUCAGGUGAGACAAGUGCAUAUGCUAUAAUGCUAGUGGGUUCAUCAUCAUAAACAGGAACAACAGUGUCAUUGACGCCAACAGGCAGAAGCAACUUAGCACUGUUUUGCCGUUCCAACUCUCUAAAAAGUGAGACAUAAACAGGAUUGUACUCGCUAAUACCAAUCUUUUGAGCAUCCAAUGAAGUUCUUUUGAAUGAACUGUAUAAAUUAGGAAAUGGCAUUCCCACUGUACUGGAGUUUUCUACAUUUUGAGGCCACUUUGAGGCUAAUGCAGAAUCAGGAGAAUGAACAACCUCAAACCCACCUUUGUCAACAAUACAAUGUUCCAAUUCUGCAUUUGCAG